rnacentral:misc_RNA from 1 species
AACGCACAUUGCACCCGCCAGUAUUCUGGCGGGUAUGCCUGUCCGAGCGUCAUUUCAACCCCUCAAGCCCUAGCUGCUUGGUGUUGGGGCGCAUCUGCAGCGCUGUCACAGCUGCUGCGGGCCCCUAAUUUCAGUGGCGGACCCGCCGAGGCCCCGAGCGUAGUAGUCUAUCUUCUCGCUUCAGGGCGCCGCGGAGGGCUCUCCUGCCGUAAAAGCCCCACUAUAUUUUUAAGGUUGACCUCGGAUCAGGUAGGACUACCCGCUGAACUUAA